GGCCAUGCUGUAGCAGGCGAGUGAUAACAGGUUUAAUCUUUUUAAAGCGUGCUGUGGGAUGGGAUAUUGGCAUUGAGUGGGGUAAGGGUGAUUAGGUUUUAAUGAGAUGGUAAGGGGUGCAUGAUUGGUAGCCAAGGAGGGAGUAGAGGUAUCUUAUACUUGUGGGUUAAGGUGGGGGGAUACAAGAGGAGGACGCAAAGGAGGCUUUGAAUUGGGAAGAAGGGUGGCAAUGAGAUACAGCUGUAGUCCAGGAAUAGUCAGGGAAGCAGAUAAUUUAGUUAAAGUGUCUCAGCCUAAUAAGGGAACUGGGCAGGUGGGGAUAAUGAAAAAGGAGUGCUUAAAAGAGUAUUGUCUAAGUUGGCACCAGAGUUGGGGAGUUUUAGGAGGUUUAGAAGCCUGGCCGUCAAUACCCACAACAGUUAUGGAGGCAAGGGAAACAGGUCCUUGAAAAGAAGAUAAUGUGGAGUGGGUAGCCUCCGUAUUGAUUAAGAAGGGGACGGGCUUACCUUCCACCGUGAGAGUUACCUGAAGCUCGGCGUCCGUGAUGGUCUAGGGGGCUUCCAAGGUGAUUGGGCAGUGUCAUCUUCAGCCGCUAAGCCGAGAAGAUCUGGGAAGGAGUCAGUCAGCCUUGGGCCAGAGUUCCAGGGGUUCUGGGAGUGGCUGUCAGGUAGAAGAGAGAAAGGGAAAACACAAAGACCAAGCUGGGAGACCAAACACUGUCAAGGUGGCAUUUUGCCAACAUGCCACAAAAGCAAGCACAGAGAGACGCCAGAGAGUGAGCAGUUGGCUGGAGUGGAGAAAACACCAGGAAAUGGAAGGAAAAUGGUGAGAAAUGAGGCAGAAGCCAAGUGGAUGGAGAAAUAUCAAGAUGACAUGCACAUUCUAACGACAAGCCUGCAGCCAUAAAAUGCAGUGUACCAAGUGGCCUCCUUCAUUGCCUGCAUUUUGAAUGCAGUCAGGCUGCACAGUGGAAUGGAAAUCCCUGGCCAAGAUAUACCUCUUAAAAGAAAAUAAUCUCUUCCUCUGUGUGUAUGCCUGCGUCUACAUAUGUAUUGUGGGGACCAGAAUAUACCACCCCAAAAUAUAAAUGACUGUUGAACUGAAGGCAAUUAAGAAGAAGUAGGUACAGGAAAGAGCUCUCCUCUCCCUUUAUUUGCCUAAAAGUAGGACACAGGCUUAUAAGGACAAAAGGAAUCCUGCCCUGCCUUCUUCUCCUAUGGGAGAACAAAGGUUAACCACGGAAGACAACCUUGGGCACUGAUGACCCUGGAGAUGAUACCAGAGGCAUCUCCACGAGCAAGCUUCCCUAACUCGCCUUUAUUUACCAUUAUGUGUCUUCCUGCAAGCUGCUGCCCUGGAGAACCCAAGUCCUUUUCUUUGUCUUGUUACUUCCUUAAAAAUGUACUGUUCUUUGUUAAAAAUGCUAUACAAGCCAGAAUUCAAAGCCAUCCCUUUGAGGACUACUCAUUCCCUUGGCGUCUUUCAUGUACCUAUGAAAUAUACACAUUAAUAAACUUCCAUUUGUUUUUCUCUCA
rnacentral:lncRNA from 1 species